GACGAACGCUGGCGGCGUGCCUAAUACAUGCAAGUCGAGCGAAUCUGAGGGAGCUUGCUCCCAAAGAUUAGCGGCGGACGGGUGAGUAACACGUGGGCAACCUGCCUGUAAGACUGGGAUAACUUCGGGAAACCGGAGCUAAUACCGGAUAAUCCCUUUCCUCACAUGAGGAAAGGCUGAAAGACGGCGUCUAGCUGUCACUUACAGAUGGGCCCGCGGCGCAUUAGCUAGUUGGUGAGGUAACGGCUCACCAAGGCCACGAUGCGUAGCCGACCUGAGAGGGUGAUCGGCCACACUGGGACUGAGACACGGCCCAGACUCCUACGGGAGGCAGCAGUAGGGAAUCUUCCGCAAUGGACGAAAGUCUGACGGAGCAACGCCGCGUGAGUGAUGAAGGUUUUCGGAUCGUAAAACUCUGUUGUUAGGGAAGAACAAGUAUCGGAGUAACUGCCGGUACCUUGACGGUACCUAACCAGAAAGCCACGGCUAACUACGUGCCAGCAGCCGCGGUAAUACGUAGGUGGCAAGCGUUGUCCGGAAUUAUUGGGCGUAAAGCGCGCGCAGGUGGUUCCUUAAGUCUGAUGUGAAAGCCCACGGCUCAACCGUGGAGGGUCAUUGGAAACUGGGGAACUUGAGUGCAGAAGAGGAAAGUGGAAUUCCAAGUGUAGCGGUGAAAUGCGUAGAGAUUUGGAGGAACACCAGUGGCGAAGGCGACUUUCUGGUGGGGGGGGAAAAACCGGGGGGAGAAAAAACGGGAUUUUAAUUUCCCGGGGUUGUUUCCCCCCGCCAAACCGCGGAGGGUUAGUUUUUUGGGGGUUUUUCCCCCUCUUGUGUCGCCACGACAACAUUAAACCAUUCCCCCCGGGAGAGAGCGGCCGCUAGUUGAAAUUAAAAAGGAUAUGGGGGGCCCGCGACACCCGUCUGGGCAUGUGGUUUAUUUUGAGCCCACGCGAAGACCCUACCCGGUCUGGACAUCCUGUCACAAACUAAAGGAUAAGGCUUUCCCCCUGGGGGGAAAAAGUCACACCCGGCCCAUGGUUGUGGUCAGCCCCUGUUGUGAGAUGUUGUUUUAAUUCCCCCAAAGAGCGCAACCCCUGAUUUUAGUUCCCACCACUCAGUUGGGCAUUUUAAGGUGAAUCCCGGUGACAAACGGGAGGAAGGUGGGGAGGACGUAAAAUCAUCAUGCCCCUUAUGACGUGGGCUACACACGUGCUACAAUGGAUGGUACAAAGGGCUGCAAGACCGCGAGGGUUAGCCAAUCCCAUAAAACCAUUCUCAUUUCGGAUUGCAGGCUGCAACUCGCCUGGAUGAAGCCGGAUCGCUAGUAAUCGCGGAUCAGCAUGCCGCGGUGAAUACGUUCCCGGGCCUUGUUCUCUCGGGCCGUCACACCACCAGACUUUGUGUUCCUCUUGUCUCAGUGGGGCUGGUCGCCUCCUUAGAGUUUGUCCUGGUCAGGCGGCUGGUCACCAAUAGAAGACACUAUCGGCGAAUAC
rnacentral:rRNA from 1 species